rnacentral:lncRNA from 1 species
CAAGAACAACCCAACAACAAAUGCGGGGUGGGGGAACUACAGCUGGAAUCAGGCCAAAACCCAGUCUGGUGAGGACACUGCUGCCCCUCCCAGCACUGACCACUGGACCAGGGGUGGGCACCACUGCCAAUGCCAUCCCUGGGGUCUGGAUGUCACUGCUGCCAACCCUGUACUCAUCAGAAUGAACUCUCCACCAUCUUUGCUUUUUUGAAUGGCUGGUUCCAGCUUUGAAGACCCAGAGUGAAGGUUCUGACAGGCCAAGCUGUCAGAGAGACAGGAAAAAGGGCAGUAACAGAAGGGGUUCCUAGUUGCCAACAAGAGAAUCCACUCCACCUGCCUCAGGCAGGUAGGGACUCAGGAAGACAGAUAAAAUAGCUCACAGAAUCAUUGGGAUGGUUGAAAACUAGACUCUGGACUCAGCUUUCAGGAAAACACCUCUGACCACUGCAGCUCUGGCCCGGUAAGGGAGCUUCCGCCACAGCGGAGAUCCGGAAGCGGCUGCUCUCGCCCCUGAUCCCAGAAAAGAGCUGCCUCUACUUCCCCAGAAGUACCAGCUGGGAUGGAUGCCCUACGGAGUUUCUCAAGUGACCCACUUCGGAAUCAGACUGAGAAGUUUUAGAGUCACAGCAAAAUUGAGAGAAAGGUUUUUAUGUGGACAUGUUUUCAACUCCUUUGGGUAAAUACUAAGGAGCAUGACUGCUGAAUUGUAUGGUAAGAGUACGUCUAGUUUUGUAAGAAACUACCAAAGUGGCUGUACCAUUUGGCAUUCCCACCAGCAAUGAAUGAGAGUUCCCGUUGCUCUCCAUCCUUGCCUGCAUUUGAUGUGAUCUGUGUUCUGGAU